rnacentral:rRNA from 1 species
CCUACGGGGUGCAGCAGUGGGGAAUAUUGGGCAAUGGGCGCAAGCCUGACCCAGCAACGCCGCGUGAAGGAAGAAGGCUUUCGGGUUGUAAACUUCUUUUCUGAGGGACGAAGAAAGUGACGGUACCUCAGGAAUAAGACACGGCUAACUACGUGCCAGCAGCCGCGGUAAUACGUAGGUGGCAAGCGUUAUCCGGAUUUAUUGGGUGGAAAGGGCGUGUAGGCGGGACAGCAAGUCAGAUGGGAAAACUCAGGGCUCAACCCGGAGCCUGCAUUUGAAACGGUUUUUCUUGAGUGCUGGAGAGGCAAUCGGAAUUCCGGGUGUAGCGGUGAAAUGCGUAGAUAUACGGAGGAACACCAGGGGCGAAGGCGGAUUGCUGGACAGUAACUGACGCUGAGGCGCGAAAGCGUGGGGAGCAAACAGGAUUAGAUACCCUAGUAGUC